CAUAGGUUAAUGAGGCGAACCGGGGGAACUGAAACAUCUAAGUACCCCGAGGAAAAGAAAUCAACCGAGAUUCCCCCAGUAGCGGCGAGCGAACGGGGAGGAGCCCAGAGCCUGAAUCAGUGUGUGUGUUAGUGGAAGCGUCUGGAAAGGCGCGCGAUACAGGGUGACAGCCCCGUACACAAAAAUGCACAUACUGUGAGCUCGAUGAGUAGGGCGGGACACGUGGUAUCCUGUCUGAAUAUGGGGGGACCAUCCUCCAAGGCUAAAUACUCCUGACUGACCGAUAGUGAACCAGUACCGUGAGGGAAAGGCGAAAAGAACCCCGGCGAGGGGAGUGAAAAAGAACCUGAAACCGUGUACGUACAAGCAGUGGGAGCCUCUUAAUGGGGUGACUGCGUACCUUUUGUAUAAUGGGUCAGCGACUUAUAUUCUGUAGCAAGGUUAACCGAAUAGGGGAGCCGAAGGGAAACCGAGUCUUAACUGGGCGUUAAGUUGCAGGGUAUAGACCCGAAACCCGGUGAUCUAGCCAUGGGCAGGUUGAAGGUUGGGUAACACUAACUGGAGGACCGAACCGACUAAUGUUGAAAAAUUAGCGGAUGACUUGUGGCUGGGGGUGAAAGGCCAAUCAAACCGGGAGAUAGCUGGUUCUCCCCGAAAGCUAUUUAGGUAGCGCCUCGUGAAUUCAUCUCCGGGGGUAGAGCACUGUUUCGGCAAGGGGGUCAUCCCGACUUACCAACCCGAUGCAAACUGCGAAUACCGGAGAAUGUUAUCACGGGAGACACACGGCGGGUGCUAACGUCCGUCGUGAAGAGGGAAACAACCCAGACCGCCAGCUAAGGUCCCAAAGUCAUGGUUAAGUGGGAAACGAUGUGGGAAGGCCCAGACAGCCAGGAUGUUGGCUUAGAAGCAGCCAUCAUUUAAAGAAAGCGUAAUAGCUCACUGGUCGAGUCGGCCUGCGCGGAAGAUGUAACGGGGCUAAACCAUGCACCGAAGCUGCGGCAGCGACACUAUGUGUUGUUGGGUAGGGGAGCGUUCUGUAAGCCUGUGAAGGUGUACUGUGAGGUAUGCUGGAGGUAUCAGAAGUGCGAAUGCUGACAUAAGUAACGAUAAAGCGGGUGAAAAGCCCGCUCGCCGGAAGACCAAGGGUUCCUGUCCAACGUUAAUCGGGGCAGGGUGAGUCGACCCCUAAGGCGAGGCCGAAAGGCGUAGUCGAUGGGAAACAGGUUAAUAUUCCUGUACUUGGUGUUACUGCGAAGGGGGGACGGAGAAGGCUAUGUUGGCCGGGCGACGGUUGUCCCGGUUUAAGCGUGUAGGCUGGUUUUCCAGGCAAAUCCGGAAAAUCAAGGCUGAGGCGUGAUGACGAGGCACUACGGUGCUGAAGCGACAAAUGCCCUGCUUCCAGGAAAAGCCUCUAAGCAUCAGGUAACAUCAAAUCGUACCCCAAACCGACACAGGUGGUCAGGUAGAGAAUACCAAGGCGCUUGAGAGAACUCGGGUGAAGGAACUAGGCAAAAUGGUGCCGUAACUUCGGG
rnacentral:rRNA from 1 species